rnacentral:rRNA from 1 species
AACGAACGCUGGCGGCAGGCUUAACACAUGCAAGUCGAACGCCCCGCAAGGGGAGUGGCAGACGGGUGAGUAACGCGUGGGAACAUACCCUUUUCUACGGAAUAGCUCUGGGAAACUGGAAUUAAUACCGUAUACGCCCUACGGGGGAAAGGUUUAUUGGGGAAGGAUUGGCUCGCGUUGGAUUAGUUAGUUGGUGGGGUAACGGCCUACCAAGGCGACGAUCCAUAGCUGGUCUGAGAGGAUGAUCAGCCACAUUGGGACUGAGACAGGGCCCAAACUCCUAGGGGAGGCAGGAGUGGGGAAUAUUGGACAAUGGGCGCAAGCCUGGUCGAGCCAGGCCGCGUGAGUGGUGAAGGCCUUGGGGUUGUAAAGCUCUUUCACCGAUGAAGAUAAUGACGGUAGUCGGAGAAGAAGCCCCGGCUAACUUCGUGCCAGCAGCCGCCGUAAUAC